rnacentral:tRNA from 1 species
GGCUAAGUAAGCUAAGCAAAAGCUAGUGGGUUCAUACCCCGAAAAUGAGAUCUCCUCCUAAGCCC